rnacentral:sRNA from 1 species
GCCGGCGGUUUCCGGCACGGCACGACGAUCGAGGAAGCCUGCGUUGAACUCAGAUAACAAACCUGACGGCGAAAUUAAGGUCGAGAAGCGGACGAACGGGCGCUGGGCCUUCGUGCUCAGCUAUCGCGGCGUCACUUAUCCGGCGGAGGGUCAGUUCAGUACCCAGCUUCUGGCACAGUCCGCGGCUUACGUCGCCAUGAAGCUUCUGCGGAACACACGCUGAGGGACUGUCAGGAAUUCUGUGCGGUGGGCCAUGAUGAUGAAAAGGAGAGAAUCAUCACAUGGCUAUCGAGAAAGAACUUCUGGACCAGCUCCUGGCUGGACG